UGGGGAAUUUUGGACAAUGGGCGAAAGCCUGAUCCAGCAAUGCCGCGUGUGUGAAGAAGGCCUUCGGGUUGUAAAGCACUUUUGUCCGGAAAGAAAUCCUUGGCUCUAAUACAGUCGGGGGAUGACGGUACCGGAAGAAUAAGCACCGGCUAACUACGUGCCAGCAGCCGCGGUAAUACGUAGGGUGCAAGCGUUAAUCGGAAUUACUGGGCGUAAAGCGUGCGCAGGCGGUUUGCUAAGACCGAUGUGAAAUCCCCGGGCUCAACCUGGGAACUGCAUUGGUGACUGGCAGGCUAGAGUAUGGCAGAGGGGGGUAGAAUUCCACGUGUAGCAGUGAAAUGCGUAGAGAUGUGGAGGAAUACCGAUGGCGAAGGCAGCCCCCUGGGCCAAUACUGACGCUCAUGCACGAAAGCGUGGGGAGCAAAACAGGAUUAGAUACCCUGGUAGUCCACGCCCUAAACGAUGUCAACUAGUUGUUGGGGGAUUCAUUUCCUUAGUAACGUAGCUAACGCGUGAAGUUGACCGCCU
rnacentral:rRNA from 1 species